rfam:Aspergillus ustus strain 3.3904 ATSC_29, whole genome shotgun sequence.
GGUGCUAUAGUGUAGUGGUUAUCAUAGUUCGUUGUGGCCGAACUGACCUGGGUUCGAUUCCCAGUAGCGCCA